CAUUGGAUAGCUCAGUGGGUAGAGCAUCAGAUUACGAAUCUGACUGUCGAAGGUUCGACUCCUUCUCCAAACACCC
rnacentral:tRNA from 1 species